rnacentral:rRNA from 1 species
UACGUAGGGGGCAAGCGUUUGUCCGGAUUUAUUGGGCGUAAAGAGCGUGUAGGCGGCUUUACAGGUCCGUUGUGAAAACUCGAGGCUCAACCUCGAGACGCCGGUGGAAACCGUAAGGCUAGAGUCCGGAAGAGGAGAGUGGAAUUCCUGGUGUAGCGGUGAAAUGCGCAGAUAUCAGGAGGAACACCAGUGGCGAAGGCGGCGAUCUGGGAAGAUACUGACGCUGAGGUGCGAAAGCGUGGGGAGCAAACAGG